UCCCUGGUGGUCCAGUGGCUAGGACUCUGUGCUCCCAAUUCAGGGGCCCCAGGGUUUGAUCCCUGGGUAGGGAA
rnacentral:tRNA from 1 species